rnacentral:rRNA from 1 species
UACGAAGGGGGCUAGCGUUGCUCGGAAUUACUGGGCGUAAAGCGCACGUAGGCGGUCUUUUAAGUCGGGGGUGAAAUCCUGGAGCUCAACUCCAGAACUGCCUUCGAUACUGGAAGACUUGAGGCCAGUAGGGGUCACUAGAACUGACGGUGGAGCGGUGAAAUGCGUAGAUAUCGUCAGGAAUGCCGGUGGUGAAGACGGGUGACUGGGCUGGUUCUGACACUGAGGCACGAAAGCGUGGGGAGCGAACGGG